CUCCCAUGUUGAGGACAUUUCUGUAGGUGAUUCUUGAACCUUUCCUAUGUCUCAAAGAGAGACACCAAUUCCAUUUGUAUAAAGGAAGAUAUUUCAUUCUUGAGCUU